ACAUUGCUUAGCUUCUGUGGAUGUACUUCUACCUGCUUCUCCAAAACUGGGGGUGUGCCGACCGCCAUCUACUGAAGGUAAUACACUGACUAUGGACAAGUAUAUCAUAUAACCCCACUUCAAAAAAAU